rnacentral:rRNA from 1 species
GACGAACGCUGGCGGCGUGCCUAAUACAUGCAAGUUGAGCGAUGAAGAUUGGUGCUUGCACCAAUUUGAAGAGCAGCGAACGGGUGAGUAACGCGUGGGGAAUCUGCCUUUGAGCGGGGGACAACAUUUGGAAACGAAUGCUAAUACCGCAUAACAACUUUAAACAUAAGUUUUAAGUUUGAAAGAUGCAAUUGCAUCACUCAAAGAUGAUCCCGCGUUGUAUUAGCUAGUUGGUGAGGUAAAGGCUCACCAAGGCGAUGAUACAUAGCCGACCUGAGAGGGUGAUCGGCCACAUUGGGACUGAGACACGGCCCAGACUCCUACGGGAGGCAGCAGUAGGGAAUCUUCGGCAAUGGACGAAAGUCUGACCGAGCAACGCCGCGUGAGUGAAGAAGGUUUUCGGAUCGUAAAACUCUGUUGGUAGAGAAGAACGUUGGUGAGAGUGGAAAGCUCAUCAAGUGACGGUAACUACCCAGAAAGGGACGGCUAACUACGUG